CGAACGCUGGCGGCGUGCUUAACACAUGCAAGUCGAACGGAAAGGCCCUGCUUUUGUGUGGUGCUCGAGUGGCGAACGGGUGAGUAACACGUGAGUAACCUGCCCUUGACUUUGGGAUAACUUCAGGAAACUGGGGCUAAUACCGGAUAGGAGCUCCUGCUGCAUGGUGGGGGUUGGAAAGUUUCGGCGGUUGGGGAUGGACUCGCGGCUUAUCAGCUUGUUGGUGGGGUAGUGGCUUACCAAGGCUUUGACGGGUAGCCGGCCUGAGAGGGUGACCGGCCACAUUGGGACUGAGAUACGGCCCAGACUCCUACGGGAGGCAGCAGUGGGGAAUAUUGCACAAUGGGCGGAAGCCUGAUGCAGCAACGCCGCGUGCGGGAUGACGGCCUUCGGGUUGUAAACCGCUUUCGCCUGUGACGAAGCGUGAGUGACGGUAAUGGGUAAAGAAGCACCGGCUAACUACGUG
rnacentral:rRNA from 1 species